rfam:Rattus norvegicus chromosome 6, whole genome shotgun sequence.
GGGGGUUUAGCUCAGCGGUAGAGCACUUGCCUAGCAAGCACAAGGCCCUGGGUUCGGUCCCCAGCUCCG